AUGGUUUUUGAAGAAAAGUUUAGCAAAUUCUGGCGCAAAGGCAGAAUUCUAAUGUCGACGCUAUUCUCACGCCAACACACUUCCUUGAGUAUUUAUUCAAGCGCUUCAACGGCAUCUAGUCAGAUUUUCUCAAAACGUUCGCCAUCUGCUGGUGAAUGGGUGAAGGAAAAAAACAAUUAAAAACGGCAUCAUCUGUGUCGUUGACCUAAAGAAGAAAAAAGAAGAAGAACGAAGCAGUAAACCAAACUAUUCUAGAGAAUACAGUUGUAUUACAUAGUAUAACAGAUAUACAUGCAAUAAGCCUUUUAAAAUAUUUAUAAUAGUACUUUACAAGAAAAGUGACAAAGUGUUACGAUAUAAAAAAGAAAAAAAACAUAACAAUCUACUGAAAACUACAAUUUUGUAAACCGUGAGAGGACGUCAUUUUGAGGGUGAAGAGAACAUCAAAAUAUCUUUGGAACGGCGUAAAAAGUGAAUUUGAAACCGCACGCUAACGACGAUAUUAAUUGCGAAAAUAUAACAGCAAGAACAAGAAGACAAUCAAGAACAACAGCAGUUUCAACAAAAGACAGUAGCAGCAACAGCAGCACCAACAAAAGAUAUAAAAAAGAAGAAAAACACAGAAAGUGGACGCAACCUUACUUCCCAAGAAAAGAGAGAGAGAAAGAACCACAAGUGACAGACGGGCAACAAGGGAAACAACAACAACAACAACAAUAACAGCAACAACUGCAAUUGAAAAUACUCCAGAAACAGCUGUAGCCGCUACAACAGCAACAGCAGUAGAAGCAACAGGAACAAUAGUUAUAGGGAUUUUUCAAAUAACAAAGUGUUGAAAAAUCAAAAAUGUGCCGACAAGGAGUAUUCUUCAUUGUAGCCAUGUGUUUUGUGGUCUUUGUACAGUCUUUUGACGUGAAGACAUUCUGUAAGACUCGUUGUGCUGUUGGUAGAGGGGGCAAUUUAUGUCGUUGCAAUGCAUUCCAUUUCGCUGGCAAAAGAUCGGACGGGCAAUACAAGCGACAAGAAUUCGGCACCAUUAACACAGACGAUAAUUACAAUCCGUUUCAAAGUUAUUUUGAAAACCUAUCCGGGUCUUUGCCCAUACAAAGACAGAGCGCACAGCAAAACGAUUACGAUGACAACGACGCGACUACAGGAAACCAGAUGUUAUAUCCAGUGAGGGAUGAGGCCCUCUUCAGAAGGGCCAUCUCAGAACAGAUGAACUCCAACAAUGAUCAACUUCUACCAGGUGAUAUCCGCAUCCCCAACAGCAACACAAGAAGUCAGAAGGAAGGCAGCCGUCUUCAGAACUUAUUGCAGAAACAGUAUAAAAGAUAUAAGAACAACAGCAGCGACAGCAACAACAACAACAACCUAUCUGGAGUACUGCCGAUCGACGUCAAUGACUUCAAUGAUAGAUCAGCUCGUUUAAGAAACUCUUUACAUCACACUGACAAUAUAAAGUUCUUGUAGCUGUGGUAGACUACACACUGUGCAGGUAGAUCGUACGCUGAAGUGUAAAUGGCCAAGUAGACCGUACGCUAAAGUUGCACCGAAUAUUUCAGCCCCAUCACCUGCCGAUACUCUACAAGGCUUCACAAUGAAGUACUUUACCUGACUGUGAGAGCUGGUCGACGCUAACAGGAAUUGCUAUCUAGGAUCUAAAGAAAAGUGACGAUGUCCACCAGAGUCUUGCAUGAAGAUAUAUUUUGUGGGGUUGUGUGGCUCUGUUUCGACGAGUUAGCAUUGUGCUUUUGAUUUGUGAACUUGAUCGAUUGUUUGCCAACAUAAUCUGUAUCUUUGAAUUGAAUGCAGAUCAGAAAAUUUAUUUAAAAUUUACACGAGAUAAAAACACAGAAAGACACACAUACAAACAUAUUUAUCCCU